AACGAACGCUGGCGGCAUGCCUAACACAUGCAAGUCGAACGAGAUCUUCGGGUCUAGUGGCGCACGGGUGCGUAGCGCGUGGGAAUCUGCCCUUUGGUUCGGAAUAACAGUUGGAAACGACUGCUAAUACCGGAUGAUGACGAAAGUCCAAAGAUUUAUCGCCAGAGGAUGAGCCCGCGUAGGAUCAGCUAGUUGGUGUGGUAAAGGCGCACCAAGGCGACGAUCCUUAGCUGGCCUGAGAGGAUGAUCAGCCACACUGGGACUGAGACACGGCCCAGACUCCUACGGGAGGCAGCAGUGGGGAAUAUUGGACAAUGGGCGAAAGCCUGAUCCAGCAAUGCCGCGUGAGUGAUGAAGGCCUUAGGGUUGUAAAGCUCUUUUACCCGGGAUGAUAAUGACAGUACCGGGAGAAUAAGCUCCGGCUAACUCCGUGCCAGCCGCCGCCGUAA
rnacentral:rRNA from 1 species